rnacentral:rRNA from 1 species
CCCUUAGAUGUUCUGGGCCGCACGCGCGCUACAAUGAUGAAUUCAACGAGUUUAUAACCUUGGUUGAAAAGCCUGGGUAAUCUUUUGAACUUUCGUCGUGAUGGGGCUAGACCCUUGCAAUUAUUGGUCUCCAACGAGGAAUUCCUAGUAAACGCAAGUCAUCAGCUUGCAUUGAUUACGUCCCUGCCCUUUGUACACACCGCCCGUCGCACCUACCGAUCGAAUGGUCCGGUGAAAUCUUCGGAUUGAGACUUUGAUUUCUUCACGGAAAACGCUGUUUUAAAAAGUUGAUUAAACCUUACCAUUUAGAGGAAGGUGAAGUCGUAACA